CAUGUAGGCGGCAUGACAAGUCUGGUGUGAAAUAUCUCGGCUCAACCGAGAAAACGCACUGGAAACUGUCAAGCUUGAGUAUCGGAGGGGAAGCUAGAAUUCCUGGUGUAGGGGUGAAAUCUGUAGAUAUCAGGAAGAAUACCGGUGGCGAAGGCGAGCUUCUGGCCAGAUACUGACGCUGAGAUGCGAAAGCGUGGGGAGCGAACAGGAUUAGAUACCCGAGUAGUCC
rnacentral:rRNA from 1 species